AGUAAACAUCGACGCACGAUUCGCUCACACGGAAUAAGAACUCCACGAAGGACACUUGGGAACCACAGCGGGGUCAUGGUUGUUUUUUUACCAUCACCUACACCCUUGGCAGGAGGAAAUAUUCACCGUUUUGGCCACCUUGUGACUCCCAGCCUCUAAUUUCCCAAAUGGGUUGAUGACUUGACACCAGCUUCAAAGCGUUGCCACUUCCGGGUAGCCCAGGUUCAAAUGAUUGCCAGCCAUUAAAAGAAAGGAUCUAGUGGCUCUGCCUUGCUAGAUGGGAAUUUGCUUCCCCGUGUCCAGUCUAACGGGUAAGUGUCAG